CCUACGAGUGGCCGCAGUGAGGAAUAUUGGUCCAUGGGCGGAAGCCUGAACCAGCCAAGUAGCGUGCAGGAUGACGGCCCUACGGGUUGUAAACUGCUUUUAUACGGGAAUAACGCGCCUUACGUGUAGGGCUUUGCAUGUACCGUAUGAAUAAGGACCGGCUAAUUCCGGGCCAGCAGCCGCGGUAAUACGGAAGGACCGGGCGUUAUCCGGAUUUAUGGGGUUUAAAGGGAGCGUAGGCCGCAUGUCAAGCGUGCUUUGAAAUGUCCGGGCUCAACCCGGGCCUUGCAGCGCGAACUGGCGUGCGUGAGUCCGCGGAAAGCAGGCGGAAUUCGUCGUGUAGCGGUGAAAUGCUGAGAUAUGACGAAGAACCCCGAUUGCGAAGGCAGCUUGCUGCAGCGGAACUGACGCUGAUGCUCGAAAUCGCGGGUAUCGAACAGGAUUAGAUACCCCUGUAGUC
rnacentral:rRNA from 1 species